GGAGUUAGCCGGUGCUUCUUCUGCGAGUAACGUCACAGAUGUAAGGUAUUAACUUACACCCUUUCCUCCUCGCUGAAAGUGCUUUACAACCCGAAGGCCUUCUUCACACACGCGGCAUGGCUGCAUCAGGGUUUCCCCCAUUGUGCAAUAUUCCCCACUGCUGCCUCCCAUAGGAGUCUGGGCCGUGUCUCAGUCCCAGUGUGGCUGAUCAUCCUCUCAGACCAGCUAGGGAUCGUCGCCUAGGUGAGCCUUUACCUCACCUACUAGCUAAUCCCACCUGGGCUUAUCCAUCAGCGCAAGGCCCGAAGGUCCCCUGCUUUCCCCCGUAGGGCGUAUGCGGUAUUAGCAGUCGUUUCCAACUGUUAUCCCCCACAAAUGGGCAAAUUCCCAGGCAUUACUCACCCGUCCGCCGCUCGUCAUCUUCAAAAGCAAGCUUUUGAAAUGUUACCGCUCGACUUGCAUGUGUUAGGCCUGCCGCCAGCGUUCAAUCUGAGCCAUAAUCAAACUCUGA
rnacentral:rRNA from 1 species